UACGGGGGGAGCAAGCGUUGUUCGGAUUUACUGGGCGUAAAGGGCGCGUAGGCGGUCAGCACAAGUCAGUUGUGAAAUCUCCGGGCUUAACUCGGAAAGGUCAACUGAUACUGUGCGACUAGAGUCCGGAAGAGGCGAGUGGAACUCCUGGUGUAGCGGUGGAAUGCGCAGAUAUCAGGAAGAACACCAACGGCGAAGGCAGCUCGCUGGGACGGUACUGACGCUGAGACGCGAAAGCGUGGGGAGCGAACAGG
rnacentral:rRNA from 1 species